UCGAGAAUCUUCGGCAAUGGGCGAAAGCCUGACCGAGCGACGCCGCGUGUGGGAUGAAGGCCCUCGGGUUGUAAACCACUGUCGUAGGGGAGGAAGGCUCCGUGAAGAGCGGGGUUUGACCUAUCCUAGGAGGAAGUACGGGCUAAGUUCGUGCCAGCAGCCGCGGUAAGACGAACCGUACGAACGUUAUUCGGAAUUACUGGGCUUAAAGGGUUUGUAGGCGGCCUUGUAAGUCAGGUGUGAAAUCCCUCGGCUCAACCGAGGAAUGGCGCUUGAUACUGCACGGCUUGAGGGAGACAGGGGUAAGCGGAACUGAUGGUGGAGCGGUGAAAUGCGUUGAUAUCAUCAGGAACACCGGUGGUGAAAGCGGCUUACUGGGUCUCUUCUGACGCUGAGGAACGAAAGCUAGGGGAGCGAACGG
rnacentral:rRNA from 1 species